rnacentral:rRNA from 1 species
UACGUAGGGUGCAAGCGUUAAUCGGAAUUACUGGGGCGUAAAGCGUGCGCAGGCGGUUUUGUAAGUCUGUCGUGAAAUCCCCCGGGCUCAACCUGGGAAUUGCGAUGGAGACUGCAAGGCUAGAAUCUGGCAGAGGUGGGUAGAAUUCCACGUGUAGCAGUGAAAUGCGUAGAGAUGUGGAGGAACACCGAUGGCGAAGGCAGCCCCCUGGGUCAAGAUUGACGCUCAUGCACGAAAGCGUGGGGAGCAAACAGG